rnacentral:lncRNA from 1 species
UUUUUUUUUUUUAAUGACGAACUACAGCGAGAACGCCAAGGAUCGUCGAUUCCCAGCCAGCGGACCACCCCAUUAACUUAAUCCGGGGACAAUUGGGCCCUUGACAGACCCAAAUUGGGUCGAAUGGAUCAACCCAUUCGGACCAGAAUUCCUACUAGGCGGUGCCAUCGCCGACCACGGACCAAAAUUCCUACUAGGCGAUGGCACCGCCAAGGUCGGCGG